AGUUAAGUGACUAAGCGUACACGGUGGAUGCCUAGGCAAUCAGAGGCGAAGAAGGACGUGCUAAUCUGCGAAAAGCUUGGAUGAGUUGAUAAGAAGCGUUUAAUCCAAGAUAUCCGAAUGGGGAAACCCGAUGGAUGAAGAAUCCAUCAUUUCAUUAUGAAUCCAUAGUAAUGAAAGGCAAACCGGGAGAACUGAAACAUCUAAGUACCCCGAGGAAAAGAAAUCAAUCGAGAUUUUGUAAGUAGCGGCGAGCGAAAGCGAAAGAGCCAGUGAGUGAUAGCAGCAAAGACAGAAGAAUUGGCUGGGAAGCCAAGCGACACAGGGUGAUAGCCCCGUAUUCGAAGUUUUUGUUGUGGUACUAAGCUUGCAACAAGUAGGGCGGGACACGAGAAAUCCUGUUUGAAGAUGGGGGGACCAUCCUCCAAGGCUAAAUACUCCUGAUUGACCGAUAGUGAACCAGUACUGUGAAGGAAAGGCGAAAAGAACCCCAGUGAGGGGAGUGAAAUAGAACCUGAAACCGUGUACGUACAAGCAGUGGGAGCCCUUUGGGGUGACUGCGUACCUUUUGUAUAAUGGGUCAGCGACUUAUAUUUUGUAGCGAGGUUAACUGAAUAAGGGAGCCGAAGGGAAACCGAGUCUUAACUGGGCGGAUAGUUGCAAGGUAUAGACCCGAAACCCGGUGAUCUAGCCAUGGGCAGGUUGAAGGUUGGGUAACACUAACUGGAGGACCGAACCGACUAAUGUUGAAAAAUUAG
rnacentral:rRNA from 1 species